CGAGUGCGUUCAGAGUUUGAUCCUGGCUCAGGAUGAACGCUGACAGAAUGCUUAACACAUGCAAGUCUACUUGAUCCUUCGGGUGAUGGUGGCGGACGGGUGAGUAACGCGUAAAGAACUUGCCUCUUAGACCGGGACAACAUCUGGAAACGGAUGCUAAUACCGGAUAUUAUGGUUUUUUCGCAUGGAGGAAUCAUGAAAGCUAGAUGCGCUAAGAGAGAGCUUUGCGUCCCAUUAGCUAGUUGGUGAGGUAACGGCCCACCAAGGCAAUGAUGGGUAGCCGGCCUGAGAGGGUGAACGGCCACAAGGGGACUGAGACACGGCCCUU
rnacentral:rRNA from 1 species